rnacentral:snoRNA from 1 species
GGUUCCGGAUGAGGGCAUUUCCUUAAUAGCUCUUUAAAUAUUUCCCAUGACUCAUAUAAAGAUUUUUCAUCCAUUUGCUAAAAGGUAAUGAUUUCAUUUCGCAACUU